rnacentral:rRNA from 1 species
UACGUAGGGGGCUAGCGUUGUCCGGAAUCAUUGGGCGUAAAGCGCGCGUAGGCGGCCCGGUAAGUCCGCUGUAAAAGUCAAAGGCUCAACCUUUGAAUGUCAGUGGAUACUGCCGGGCUAGAGUCCGGAAGAGGCGAGUGGAACUCCUGGUGUAGCGGUGAAAUGCGUUGAUAUCGAUAGGAACUCCGGUGGCGAAGGCGGCAUACUGGACCACAUCUGACGCUGAGGCGCGAAAGCCAGGGGAGCAAACGGG